ensembl:lincRNA A930038B10Rik RIKEN cDNA A930038B10 gene
AAUCUUCUAGGGAAGACAGUCAAUGGAAAAAUCUAGAAAAGCGGGGCCUAGGUUGGCCUUGAAGUCAUUAUGGAGACCAGACUGUCUAAGAAGUCAUGAUCCUCCAGCCUGAAUAUCCCGAGCGUUAGGAUUAUAGAUAUGCACCACUGAGCCUGGUUCAGGGUUUGGCUGUUACAUACUUCUAGAAGAGCUUAGGUAUCAGUUUAGGUAGGGAUCCAUGUCUGUGCUUGGCGGUUCCUAAAGUGUGAACAAGCUACUUCUUACCUCUUAUCCCUCAGGGCUAUUGUGGGAUAUUUGCCAGAGAAGACUGCUCGGGCAUGGGUUUAAGCCAAUAGAAAGUCUUCAUUGGCCAGCCAGUGACUACAUUGGGUGUUUGAGAUCCCUUUGUAGCAUUAAAUCCUUCUCGGGGUGAGCUUUUAAAGCACCAAAAACAAACAAACAAACAAACAAACAAAAAAACCAACCUAUGUUCUGACAUAUUUUAGUUAACAGGAACAGUUAGCCAGAGCAAAACUACAGAAGCCAUAAAGCAAGGUUAGUACAGUUUGAGACUUUCCCAGAACUGUGGUCUUUGAUGGGUUAGGGCUUUGUUGUAGUUUUGGCAGGUGUUGUCAUCUACGGGCUGAGCUUUGUAGCCUGAAUGGCACUUCCACCAUGGAUUCAGUUGUGUGGGUUCCUGUAACCAGGCAACAUGAAGUUAAAGCACACAGAGGUUUUCUGUGGACCUUUUGUGGAGGUUAGAACUCUUUGCAAUGUAGCACAUUGGACUUUAAGGCACAGUAGAUUAACAUGAUAUCAUCUACGCACAUGCUAUUUGUGCUCCUGACCUGGUGUAAUUGGCUUGAAGUGAGUCACAGAUGUGCAGAAUCUCUCCGAGGGCAGCUCCAGCAGAGGACAGUCCAGCCAGGCGUGGUUCCAGCUGAUGAAGAGGAAAUGGGACUGCCUGUCUGUAGGGCCGUGCUACUCCCUCCUGUCCAGAGCUCAAAAAUGUGUCCCUUUCCUACAGCUGUGGGAGCUGAAGCCUGGAGAGGUCAAGGGUCACAGCUAGAAGACAAAGCUAAUUCACUCCCUUCCUAAACCAGUCCUAAGGACCUGGAACCAUUAACUGCCUAGAACGCCUCAGAGAGGCGGAAGGCUUCAUGAACCCCGCCCACCGACCUGUGAUGGGCAGUGACCAGACCCAAUCUGGUGCAAGUUUUUAUUCACCGGGAUUCUUCCCAGUUUCUGAGAGUGCACCAGCGCAGUGACCCUGUCGUAUUGACUGUGUCCCAUGAUAGUGAUGGGUACCUUCGACUGUCAUCUCUGGUACACUUCCUUAGUGUCUUUUGCCUUAUAGAUCACAGAAAGGAAGUUUGAUCAACUUUUGGUUUUAUUUUGUGACAGGGUACCGAACUUAGCCUCCUGAGUGUUAGGGCUGUGUACCCCAACACUUCUGCUCUUACAAAAUGUUUCUUGUUUCAUGUUACUCCUACCAUAUGAUUUAUGUCUGCUUAUUUUGGAAUACUUUUUCAUUCAAAAUAUUAUUUUCAUUGUGAAGAUAUGAUCACGAUACUCAAGGUAAGAAAGAGUAAACAAGGAAAAAAGCCUUUAUUUCCCUCCUGCGAUUGAGGCUUCAGGGGUAUGUCACCUUGCCUGUCCCUCACACGUAUUCAAGAGCACAUGUCAAAAGCUAGUUCCAGCUCGGACCUUAAGUUGGAGGCAGGAGGCACGUCCUCCAGCAGCGCGUCCACAGCGCCCCCUUGAGGCUCUGGAAGGUAUCAUAGAACAGAAGGAUGCAGGAGGGGACCGAGUUUCCAAGGAAGGGAUGUUGGGGAAGGGACGUUGGAGCAGGCGAGCUGAUAUCUUGAGGCUUCGAGGUCACCCGAAUGCUGUGCCCACAGGACUCCGGGUCCUGGGCGUCGUCAACAGCGGCUGGGUUGGCGGGACCCACGCGGAUCCAGCUCACAUGGCGCAAGACUCUCAACGCCUCCUCCCUCCCCUCUGCGUUCGCGCGACGAGUUCCGCAUCUUUAUCACCUCCACCCCCACCCCACGGGGGUAUGUGUGGCGGCCUAGGCCUCCGGGUGUCCCCAGAUGGAGCAGGUGCCUGGAUGCCGCUCCGGGUUGGGGCAGGAUGUUCGGAUGAGCCCUGUGACUUUGGCGGCCUCAGUUUCCCCAGGAUGACUGCCCUCGUGUGUAGUCAGCCAAGAGGAGAGGGGACAGAGCAUCCACCACACACCCAGAGGAGUGCAUCCGCCCAAGUCCCACCUCCUAAGGCUCCAGUCUGUCCCUACCUCUCAGCAUGUCUCCUCCCUGAUCUCGAUUUUCCUGGAGGUCGACCCAGGUAAAGCCCCACAAGCCUUGUAGCUCAACGGGUGUAGGCACUUGCCACCAAGCCUGACCACCUGAGUUUUCUGUGGACGGAGAGAAGCAACUUCACGGAAGUUAUGCUCUGAUCGCCACACAUGCGCUGUGGUGCGCACGCGCACACAUCCCCCUCGUCCUGUAUUUUUUUCCUUUUUUUAAUUUUAAAAUAAAUGUAAAUCUCCAAUAUACUGAAAACCACAUGUAUAAAACGUAUCGAAUAACAAACCACCCCACACCUCACACCUUUUUGCUUCUUAAAGGUUCCAUCCUUGUCCAGGGUGUGGCUGCCUAGCCACCACUCACCCAGACUAUGGCAGAGAUGGUCAUUGAGGUUAGUGCUUAUAUUGACUUAUUUGUUGGUGUUUGUUGGAGGUAGGAUGGCUAACGAUGUGAUAACCUUCCUGUCUGCCAGUAAACUUCAGGAAGCGAUUCUUCUCCCCCAGAGCAAAGGCAGGGCACAUGCCUGUUUCUGGGAACGUAUCCAUCUUCAAGAAAGUCAGUUGCUACCCUGUUGUCCUUCAAAGACAUCGAGUCCUGGGAUGGAGAGAUGGUGUCUUGGUUAGGGUUUUACUGCUGUGAACAGACACUAUGGCC